rnacentral:rRNA from 1 species
AUGGACCUCAAAGCUGGAUUUCACCAGAUCAGGCUAGCUCCUGGAGAAGAGUACAAAAGUGCAUUUCAAACACACCAUGGCCACUUUGAGUUUCUUGUAGUUGCCAUGGGUUUGACUAGAGCUCCAGCAACAUUUCAAGGAACCAUGAACUUUGACCUAUCUCCUCUUCUCAGGAAGUGUGUACUAUGUUUCUUUGAUGACAUCUUAGUUUUCAGCAAAACAUUUGAGGAGAAUUUGGAGCAUGUUGCAUAG